AUAAAUUUUGACCUCAAAUCAGGUAAGGAUACCCGCUGAACUUAAGCAUAUCAAUAAGCGGAGGAAAAGAAACCAACAGGGAUUGCCUUAGUAACGGCGAGUGAAGCGGCAAAAGCUCAAAUUUGAAAUCUAGUGCCUAUGGUACUCGAGUUGUAAUUUGAAGAAUUUUUCUCCGAACAGUCCUUUAUCUAUGUUCCUUGGAACAGGACGUCAUAGAGGGUGAGAAUCCCGUGUGAUUUUGGAUACUGUUCAUUGUGAGAUUUAUUCGAAGAGUCGAGUUGUUUGGGAAUGCAGCUCUAAGUGGGUGGUAAGUUCCAUCUAAAGCUAAAUAUUGGCGAGAGACCGAUAGCGAACAAGUACAGUGAUGGAAAGAUGAAAAGAACUCUGAAGAGAGGGUGAAAAAGUACGUGAAAUUGCUGAAAGGGAAGGGCUUUAGGUCAGACUUGGUGUUUAAUACUCAGUUCUCCUUGUGGGAGCUGCUCUUGUUUUUCACUGGGCCAAUAUCAGUUUUGGCGGUAGAGCACCUCUGGAAAUGUAGCUGCCUUCGGGUAGUGUUAUAGUCUGGGGACGAUCUACUGCUGGGACUGAGGUCUGCGCAUUUUGCUAGGAUAUUGGCAUAAUGACCUUAAGCCGCCCGUCUUGAAACACGGA
rnacentral:rRNA from 1 species